CUUUAUUCUGCAAACAAGAGGCAUUAUCACAGUUCAAGAGCACAUUCCAGCCAGGUUAAAACACUUGAGGAAGCAUAGAACUGUUGAGACGUGUCACUCGGGGCAAGUUCUAGAUAGGAGGACACUUUUAGCCUCUGGGCCAGGCCUGCAGUUCCUCGCCCCAAUAUAUAAUACUGUUGCAUGUUCAUUUACAAAUAUUUUUGAUGUUUUAUUUCAAGAUGGUUGUGCCUCAUUGGGCCUCCCUUGUAGGACUACAGUUGUUUGAGGCAUAGUUGAGUUUUUGAGGCUGAAUAUACUUUUGCGGGGAAGGAUUGUUUUGGAGGAAAGGUUCAUUUUAUAAAUGCUUGUCUUUUUAAAAAUAAUCUGCUUGCUCCAGCUGUUUUCUGCAAUACCUGUUAACAACAUCAUUUUUUCUGACACCCCCCCAUGUUCCACUUUUAUCCUUCCAUAUUCUUUUAAGGCUACUUUUGUGAUUGGAGAGCAACAUUCUUUAAGAAAUGUUUAGAAAUCAAUGUUUAUACACCUUAUCUGUUAAAUACUGUACUAAACUGGGCUGUUCAUAUCCUAUUAAAGGAAAUUCCAGACAUAUUAAAAUCUCA